rnacentral:rRNA from 1 species
UGGGGAAUAUUGCACAAUGGGCGCAAGCCUGAUGCAGCCAUGCCGCGUGUAUGAAGAAGGCCUUCGGGUUGUAAAGUACUUUCAGCGAGGAGGAAGGCAUUGUGGUUAAUAACCACAGUGAUUGACGUUACUCGCAGAAGAAGCACCGGCUAACUCCGUGCCAGCAGCCGCGGUAAUACGGAGGGUGCAAGCGUUAAUCGGAAUUACUGGGCGUAAAGCGCACGCAGGCGGUUGAUUAAGUCAGAUGUGAAAUCCCCGAGCUUAACUUGGGAACUGCAUUUGAAACUGGUCAGCUAGAGUCUUGUAGAGGGGGGUAGAAUUCCAGGUGUAGCGGUGAAAUGCGUAGAGAUCUGGAGGAAUACCGGUGGCGAAGGCGGCCCCCUGGACAAAGACUACGCUCAG